UUUCCACUUUUACCUCAGGGACACCACAGGAGACCAGACGGCUCAUUCAUUUCAGGGCGACCAGGGACAAUGAGUUCCUAAAAUCGAAAAUGAUCGCCAGAAAACAGUGGGAGCUUUUUCUGGAAGAAAUGGGGGUGGAGGGGAAAGUGACCAGGCAACAGGCUUCUAAGAAGUGGGAGAACCUUAAAAAGAAGUACAAGGAUUUGAGGACUCCCAAAACUCGGGUCGGGGACUGAAAGUGGGGAGGUGACUGUGGCGACGUGGCAGUAUUAUGACUUGAUGCACGAGGUUCUUGGUGCCCGGCCAGCAAUUGACCCACCAGUCCUUGUGUCAUCUAUUCAAGACCCCAUGGUUAUCCUCAU